GGGUUGUGAGGUUAAGCGACUAAGCGUACACGGUGGAUGCCCUGGCAGUCAGAGGCGAUGAAGGACGUGCUAAUCUGCGAUAAGCGUCGGUAAGGUGAUAUGAACCGUUAUAACCGGCGAUUUCCGAAUGGGGAAACCCAGUGUGAUUCGUCACACUAUCAUUAACUGAAUCCAUAGGUUAAUGAGGCGAACCGGGGGAACUGAAACAUCUAAGUACCCCGAGGAAAAGAAAUCAACCGAGAUUCCCCCAGUAGCGGCGAGCGAACGGGGAGCAGCCCAGAGCCUGAAUCAGUGUGUGUGUUAGUGGAAGCGUCUGGAAAGGCGCGCGAUACAGGGUGACAGCCCCGUACACAAAAAUGCACAUACUGUGAGCUCGAUGAGUAGGGCGGGACACGUGGUAUCCUGUCUGAAUAUGGGGGGACCAUCCUCCAAGGCUAAAUACUCCUGACUGACCGAUAGUGAACCAGUACCGUGAGGGAAAGGCGAAAAGAACCCCGGCGAGGGGAGUGAAAAAGAACCUGAAACCGUGUACGUACAAGCAGUGGGAGCACGCUUAGGCGUGUGACUGCGUACCUUUUGUAUAAUGGGUCAGCGACUUAUAUUCUGUAGCAAGGUUAACCGAAUAGGGGAGCCGAAGGGAAACCGAGUCUUAACUGGGCGUUAAGUUGCAGGGUAUAGACCCGAAACCCGGUGAUCUAGCCAUGGGCAGGUUGAAGGUUGGGUAACACUAACUGGAGGACCGAACCGACUAAUGUUGAAAAAUUAGCGGAUGACUUGUGGCUGGGGGUGAAAGGCCAAUCAAACCGGGAGAUAGCUGGUUCUCCCCGAAAGCUAUUUAGGUAGCGCCUCGUGAAUUCAUCUCCGGGGGUAGAGCACUGUUUCGGCAAGGGGGUCAUCCCGACUUACCAACCCGAUGCAAACUGCGAAUACCGGAGAAUGUUAUCACGGGAGACACACGGCGGGUGCUAACGUCCGUCGUGAAGAGGGAAACAACCCAGACCGCCAGCUAAGGUCCCAAAGUCAUGGUUAAGUGGGAAACGAUGUGGGAAGGCCCAGACAGCCAGGAUGUUGGCUUAGAAGCAGCCAUCAUUUAAAGAAAGCGUAAUAGCUCACUGGUCGAGUCGGCCUGCGCGGAAGAUGUAACGGGGCUAAACCAUGCACCGAAGCUGCGGCAGCGACGCUUAUGCGUUGUUGGGUAGGGGAGCGUUCUGUAAGCCUGUGAAGGUGUACUGUGAGGUAUGCUGGAGGUAUCAGAAGUGCGAAUGCUGACAUAAGUAACGAUAAAGCGGGUGAAAAGCCCGCUCGCCGGAAGACCAAGGGUUCCUGUCCAACGUUAAUCGGGGCAGGGUGAGUCGACCCCUAAGGCGAGGCCGAAAGGCGUAGUCGAUGGGAAACAGGUUAAUAUUCCUGUACUUGGUGUUACUGCGAAGGGGGGACGGAGAAGGCUAUGUUGGCCGGGCGACGGUUGUCCCGGUUUAAGCGUGUAGGCUGGUUUUCCAGGCAAAUCCGGAAAAUCAAGGCUGAGGCGUGAUGACGAGGCACUACGGUGCUGAAGCAACAAAUGCCCUGCUUCCAGGAAAAGCCUCUAAGCAUCAGGUAACAUCAAAUCGUACCCCAAACCGACACAGGUGGUCAGGUAGAGAAUACCAAGGCGCUUGAGAGAACUCGGGUGAAGGAACUAGGCAAAAUGGUGCCGUAACUUCGGGAGAAGGCACGCUGAUAUGUAGGUGAAGUCCCUCGCGGAUGGAGCUGAAAUCAGUCGAAGAUACCAGCUGGCUGCAACUGUUUAUUAAAAACACAGCACUGUGCAAACACGAAAGUGGACGUAUACGGUGUGACGCCUGCCCGGUGCCGGAAGGUUAAUUGAUGGGGUCAGCGCAAGCGAAGCUCUUGAUCGAAGCCCCGGUAAACGGCGGCCGUAACUAUAACGGUCCUAAGGUAGCGAAAUUCCUUGUCGGGUAAGUUCCGACCUGCACGAAUGGCGUAAUGAUGGCCAGGCUGUCUCCACCCGAGACUCAGUGAAAUUGAACUCGCUGUGAAGAUGCAGUGUACCCGCGGCAAGACGGAAAGACCCCGUGAACCUUUACUAUAGCUUGACACUGAACAUUGAGCCUUGAUGUGUAGGAUAGGUGGGAGGCUUUGAAGUGUGGACGCCAGUCUGCAUGGAGCCGACCUUGAAAUACCACCCUUUAAUGUUUGAUGUUCUAACGUGGACCCGUAAUCCGGGUUGCGGACAGUGUCUGGUGGGUAGUUUGACUGGGGCGGUCUCCUCCUAAAGAGUAACGGAGGAGCACGAAGGUUGGCUAAUCCUGGUCGGACAUCAGGAGGUUAGUGCAAUGGCAUAAGCCAGCUUGACUGCGAGCGUGACGGCGCGAGCAGGUGCGAAAGCAGGUCAUAGUGAUCCGGUGGUUCUGAAUGGAAGGGCCAUCGCUCAACGGAUAAAAGGUACUCCGGGGAUAACAGGCUGAUACCGCCCAAGAGUUCAUAUCGACGGCGGUGUUUGGCACCUCGAUGUCGGCUCAUCACAUCCUGGGGCUGAAGUAGGUCCCAAGGGUAUGGCUGUUCGCCAUUUAAAGUGGUACGCGAGCUGGGUUUAGAACGUCGUGAGACAGUUCGGUCCCUAUCUGCCGUGGGCGCUGGAGAAUUGAGGGGGGCUGCUCCUAGUACGAGAGGACCGGAGUGGACGCAUCACUGGUGUUCGGGUUGUCAUGCCAAUGGCACUGCCCGGUAGCUAAAUGCGGAAGAGAUAAGUGCUGAAAGCAUCUAAGCACGAAACUUGCCCCGAGAUGAGUUCUCCCUGACUCCUUGAGAGUCCUGAAGGAACGUUGAAGACGACGACGUUGAUAGGCCGGGUGUGUAAGCGCAGCGAUGCGUUGAGCUAACCGGUACUAAUGAACCGUGAGGCUUAACCUUACAACGCCGAAG
rnacentral:rRNA from 1 species